rnacentral:lncRNA from 1 species
GGCCUUGUUCUGUAUAAUAAUCUUAAGACAAAUCUUCCACCACUGAUUCUUCAGUUGUAGCUAAAAGAUCUUCACAAAGCUUGCCAGAAUUCCCAACUGCAAAGGAGCCCCUUCCAAGAGCACUGCAUCCUGGACUUAGUGCCUUUGCCAUGGAGAGACAGAUGGCAGGGACUGCUGCUGAUGCAGGGAGGGAUUCACUCCUGAGGAUCAAUCACCUGUGAUGCUUAUGCUGUGUCCUCCGACUUUUCCUCUUGAUACUGUGAUACCGACCUCAAGAUAAUUUCAGCAACCAUGUUUAAUCAUUUCACUAAUGCUGAGCAGCUGAAAACAGGACAACUGGUGUGUUACCAGUUUACUCAAGAAUAGAACAAAUGAAAGACAACAGCUACAUGGACAAGGAAUGUGAUGAGCAGAAAGAGAAAGAAAUUUGAGUGAGGAUGAAGGAGACAGCAGGUAUUGUGAA